rnacentral:rRNA from 1 species
UAUCUCUGUAGAGUCUGCAUAUCAAUAAGCGGAGGAAAAGAAACUAACUAGGAUUCCCUCAGUAACGGCGAGUGAAGCGGGAAGAGCUCAAAUUUGAAAUCUUCAAGGUUUUACCUUGACGAAUUAUAGUUUAAAGAAGUGUUUUCUGUUGGAGUUUUGGUAAAAGUUCUUUGGAAUAGGACAUCACAGAGGGUGAGAAUCCCGUAUUUGACCAUUAUUUCCAGCUUUGUGAUACACUUUCAAAGAGUCGGAUUGUUUGGGAAUGCAGUCCAAAAUGGGUGGUAAAUUUCAUCUAAAGCUAAAUAUUGGCGAGAGACCGAUAGCGAACAAGUACCGUGAGGGAAAGAUGAAAAGAACUUUGAAAAGAGAGUUAAACAGUACGUGAAAUUGUCAAAAGGGAAGCGUUUGACACCAGUGUUGUUUUCUCGAAAAUCAAUUAAAAAUGGCGGGAUUUUGUGUUGUAUUGACCUUAUAAGCUUUCUGCACUCUUUUCAUGUCUUUUUUAAUGCACUUUUUUCGUUUAACAAGUCAACAUCAAUUUCUUUUGUUGUAAAAAGGGUCAUUGGAAGGUGGCUUUCUUUUCGGAGAAAGUGUUUAUAGCCUUUGACUCCUGCAAUCGGAGAGACUGAGGUCUGCAGCGUAGAUCCUUCGGGAUUAGAUUCAUUUGUGCUAAGUUACAACCGUUUAUAGACAACUUGUUGACUAUAUUCGAUCCUGUAGCUUACUCGCUUAUGUAAUUUUACCUACGCUUAGGAUGUUGAGUCAUCACACAUCUCU